UAGCACAAUAUAUUGGCUGUUCAUUGUUUUUAUAUUGGCACAAUAUCGAAUCAUUUCUAUUGAUAAAACAAUAUUGUGUCAAUAUUGGCUUAAUAUUGUUCUUUGUUUUAUAAAUGUAAUGUUGGUGAGAAAUAUUGUACCAAUAUCGGUCAGCUAGUUUUAGCCAUUAUUGUUAUUUAUCAAUGUUGGCCCAUUAUUACUAUUUACAAUAUUUUAUUACAAGAUUGGCCCUAUACAUUAUUUAUAUUGCGGUUAUAAUAUUGGCAUUCACACUGGUUAUUCACUAUUGGGCCCAUAUUUCCAACAAAUAUUGGGUCAAUCUAGGAAUGCAUCUCUAUUACAAUAAAAAAGAUAACAUCAUUUUAUUAUAAAUUAUCUAAGUAAUAUACACCUAUUUUCUAGGGACUGUAAAGCAAAUGCAUUACCAGAGUGAACUGUGUUGUGUUGGUGGUCUGUGAGUGAACCCUAGAAUGCCAUAUGCCAUGGGAAAUAAUAAUAAAUAAUAGCCAUACUCGUAUAUUCCUUCCCAUGAUACUAAGUCGUCUUAGUAUAAUGAUUCCUCCCUCAUCACAAGCUCUUUAUAUGAGGCUCUUCAGAGGCUAAUUAUUAUUCUUUAUUAUACUUUUCCAAAUACGAUACGAGGAGUGUAACAUUUACUUUAAAAUAUGAAAAUAUUCAAAUAAAGGCGCUACAAUAAUUAUUCAAGUGGCGACUCUCUGCGGCCGUGCGGUCGCGAGUUCCUUGUAGAUCUUGUGUGCUGUUGCCAACUCAUACGUAAAAUAUUGUAGUUGCAGAUAAUGAUGGUUUAAGUUUGAGGAGCAAAUCUCACGUAAAAUAGUUAUAGCAAAUUUUAUUGUUGUAAACUAUUUUAAAUAAACACAUCAAUACUCCUAAAUCACUAAAAACUGGAUAAACCUUAUUUUUUGUUAAAUCAAAUAAAAAUAGUCAAAUCAGUUGUAAUUUCUAGAUCUGAAAUUGCAGUCUGGCAACGCGGCGUCAGCAGUUGGAUGUAACGUGCUGUACUGCUGUACCGGCAUUUUCAUAACCUAAGCAUAUAAACGGCUUUGUAUAAAUGAUUUUGCAUUUUACAUUAAGUAAAUUAUAACAAAUAAUGCUACUCGAUUGGUUAUUCAGCUAUUAAAUUAAAAGUGGGUACCUAGUAGAAGAAAUGGUAUAUUUUGUGCUGUGUGUUGGGUAAGUAUAAAGUGCAUUAAGUAUCGUGAAAUUUUUGUAGGUAGACUGAAGAACUGGAAGAAGUGGCUAUUAAACGAUAUUUUUAUUAUACCUAUUACUUAUCAAUACGAGGCCUUCAAGUUGUUUAAAUAUACAGGGUGUCUAAACAAUCAAAGUAAGUAAUUAUUUUUUUGUUCUUGGUAACAUGGCAAUAGUUUAUAUGGCAAGAUAUUAGAUAGUCGAGUAAACCUUUCAAUAUUAUCGAUCGAUAGAAGCUGGUGCAUGUUGUACGUAAAUGUCAUUUAAAUAAACCAGAACUUUUAAUUUUUAGGAACUAUGUCAAAAAAGUCCAGAAAGUAUAUGUAUGUUAAAAGAUUUCUUGAAAAUAAAGAUGAGGAAUUAGAUAGUGAAAGUGCUGAUUGCAGUUUACCUUUAUCAAAUCACACACCUGCUAACAGCGAUGUGAAUGCACUAAAUAUUGAUGAUGCCUUUAGUGAUAGUGCUCUUAGUUUUAAUUCUGAAAACUCUAAAACGAGCAAUACUGAAACUUUAGAAUUAGAUUAUAAUUGCAAAUCGAAUAUGUUACAUAAUCUGAAUCAAAAUUGUGUGGAAGAAAAUCUCUCUACUGCUUUUAAACCUAAUUUUCUAUCAAUAAAAGAUGAUCUAAAAUGCUGGGCACUCACUGUAAAUGUAAAUCAUACCCAAUUAAACAGUUUGCUUAGAAUUUUGAAACCACACCAUCCUGAUUUACCUUUAGAUAGUCGAACCAUUUUGGGAACAGAACGUUCAUUGAAUAUUACCCCAAUGCAAUCACAAAAUGGUACAAAUGGAGAAUAUAUUUAUUUCGGUAUACAGCAAAAUUUAGAACAACAAUUAUUUAAUGGAAACUUGAACACUAUUCUUAAAGAACGAAAUAUUACUUCAAUUAAGUUAAAAUGUAACAUUGAUGGGUUGAAAAUACAUAAAAGUACCAACAUUGAUUUUUGGCCCAUUCUUGCUGCCGUGCAUAUGCCAAAUUUUAACUCUGAUCCUUUUGUGGUUGCAAUUUAUAUGGGCGAUAGUAAACCAAAAUUCUUAGAAAGCUUUCUUAAGGACUUUAUAGCAGAAAUUGAACAUCUUUCAGUAAUUGGCGUGACAGGUCCCGGUUCUCAAUCAUACACAUUUGGCCUUAAAUAUUUAAUAUGUGAUGCACCAGCUCGAGCCUUUUUAAAAAGCAUUAAAAGUCAUAAUGGUUAUUUUGCUUGUGAAAGGUGUAAUGCUAAAGGGACAAAAAUUAAUGGACGUUUCAUUUACAAAAUUUCGGAGAGAGAUGAAAAGAGAUCUCACCUAACCUUUAUAAACAAAACACAUGCUGGACACCAUGUAGGUGCAACUCCCUUAACCAGAUUAAAAAAUUUUGAUAUGGUGUUUGGCUUCCCGCUAGAUUACAUGCAUAUGGCAUGUUUAGGUGUAAUGCGACGCCUUUUAAAUUUUUGGUUCAAAUCGGACUCACAGUUUAGAAUUACACCAGCUUUUCGACGAGAAGCUUCCGUACGAAUAAUACAAAUUGCUUCGCAUACACCUAGAGAAUUUGGUAGGCGUCCGAGAUCAUUUUCUGAACUGGAUCGUUGGAAAGCAACAGAAUUCCGCUUUGUUUUAUUAUAUAUAGGAGUAUAUAUAUUGAAAGAUAUUUUGUCACCGAAAAGGUACAAACACUUUCUUCAUUUUGUAUGUGCAAUGAGAAUUAUAUGUUCCAGAGAUUUUUCUAGACCCUUAGGUAAUAUAGCGGUAACUUCUAUUGACAAAUUCUGUAAAGAAAUUUGUAAUGUAUAUGACCAAGAUAUGGAACCGAUAUUUAAUACUCACAGUAUCAGACAUUUAGUUCAGGAUGCUGUUGAACGAAAUGAGAACCCGGAGGAUGUAAAUUGUUUUAUGUUUGAAAAUUACUUAGGUCGUUUAAAGAAAAUGAUCCGUACACCUAACAAACCACUUUCACAAGUGUGCAAACGACUUACAGAAAAAAAUAACAGUACAAAAUUGUUAAAAAAUUAUAACAGUAGAGAAUUUUCCGUUGUUUAUGAAAAACUUGGAGAUAUUAUUAAAGCCAUCAACUAUAAAAACGUGUAUAUUGCAACUAAACCUAAGAAGGAAUCAUAUAUUUUACUCUCGAGCAAAAAAAUAAUGUCGGUGAACAAAAUUGCCAAAGAUGAUAAAAAUAACAUUUUACUGUAUGGCCCAGUAUUCCAAGUCACUGAAAAUAUAUUUACACUUUCCACGUUAUUAUCCUCAGAUAUAUACAUGUACCAAGUUAGGAAUUUAAGCAACUUUCAAUUUUCUGCUACCCUUAAUGACAUCAUUACAAAGUGUAUUGUUUUUCCUCUUGCCGACUCUAACAAUAUGGGUGCUGUGGGGAUGUUACAUGUAAAUUAUUAAAUAUUGUAUUGUUAUUUUUUACAUGAUUAAUAAAGUUCAUUAGAAUCUUAAAUUAAAGAGUUUGUUUCUUUAGUUACAGUUUAUGGAAAAAUAUUUUUUAUAGGAUUUUGCAAACAUCAGGAAGAAAUGCAUAUGACUUAUUAUCGUUGACUAAUUAGUAUUACACUAAUAUCUAUAGAUAGUAAAACAACUUAAUACUUUCCAUUUAUUAAUUAAGUAGUCAACGAUAAUACAUCAUUUGGAUUUCUUCCUCGAUGUUUACAAAAUCCUAUUAAAAAUAUUUAUCUAUAACCUGAAACAAACAAUGAUAUUUUUGAAAAAUUUACAGUUUGUGAUUUACAGACACUAUAAAAACGAGAAAUAUGUUAAUAUGGUAUGAAAUAUGGUAUAUAUGAAAUAUGUAUGUAAUUUAUAUCUUCCACAAUCGUGUCUUUCAGAGUCGUCAUUAUGGCAAGCUGGGAUAUAGUUUUCUUCUUAAGAGACAAUACUUCUGAAUAUGUUCCAACUUCAUGGGCAGUUGAUACAAAAAAAGAUUUUUACUUAUGGCCCAAGAAAUUGUCUGAAACUCAAAUCAAGAAGUUAAGGGACAAUUGUUCAGAACCAAGUCUAAAUAUUGAUUAUGAAGAAUGGGCUGGUAUUUGCAAGGCUACCGUAUAUAACCUAAAACAUGCUCAAAAUUUGGCAGAAAAGGCGGAAUAUACAUCUAAUUUAUCAUCAACAGCUGAGACUGUUGAGGGACUAGUAGAGGAUGAUGUGGACGAUGAAGGGGAUGAAUUAUUGUCGUCUGAUGAUAAUCUUGAGUCAGUACGAUGUAAGUUAAAGAAUAAAACAGGAAGGAAUGGCAACUAUUCCACAAGCCGAGUCUGUACUCCAUCUGAAUUUAAGGGUUCAUCUUCACAAAGAAAUUUAACUAGUUUUACCAAGCCAGCAGUAAGCAGAUCUUUAAUAAAUGGCUCUACGAAGACACCUUCUUCUGCUAGUAGAAAUUCUAAUGAAGGUAAUAUAUGAAAAUUCUUUUCAAUGCUUCAUAAACAUGAUUAGUUAUUUAUAUUUUAUUGGUGUAAACGUUUUAGAUG